rnacentral:rRNA from 1 species
AGCAUGUGGAUUAAUUCGAUGCAACGCGAAGAACCUUACCUGGGCCUGACAUACACCGGACCGGGCCAGAGAUGGCCUUUCCCUUGUGGCUGGUGUACAGGUGGUGCAUGGUUGUCGUCAGCUCGUGUCGUGAGAUGUUGGGUUAAGUCCCGCAACGAGCGCAACCCUUGUCUUAUGUUGCCAGCACGUAGUGGUGGGGACUCAUGAGAGACUGCCGGGGUCAACUCGGAGGAAGUGGGGAUGACGUCAAAUCAUCAUGCCCCUUACGUCCAGGGCUUCACACAUGCUACAAUGGUCGGUACAACGCGUUGCGACACUGUGAGGUGGAGCUAAUCGCUGAAAGCCGGCCUCAGUUCGGAUUGAAGUCUGCAACUCGACUUCAUGAAGGCGGAAUCGCUAGUAACCGCGAAUCAGCAGGUCGCGGUGAAUACGUUCCCGGGCCUU